rnacentral:tRNA from 1 species
GAGGGUACAGCUCAGUGGCAGAGUGCCUGCUUAGCACGCACGAGGUCCUGGGUUCAAUCCCCAGUACUUCCA